AGCUCCAUUAGCGUAUAUUAAAGUUGUUGCAGUUAAAAAGCUCGUAGUUGGAUUUCGGUGCGGAUCGAUCGGUCGGCCGCAAGGCUUGUUCACUGGUCGGUCUGCUCUUCCUCCCGAAGACUGCGUGUGCCCUUCGCUGGGUGUGCGUAUUUUGGAUUCGGGACGUUUACUUUGAAAAAAUUAGAGUGUUCAAGGCAGGCUGUCACGCUUGAAUACAUGAGCAUGGAAUAAUGGAAUAGGACCUCGGUCCCUAUUUCGUUGGUUUUAUGGACCGAGGUAAUGAUUAAGAGGGACAGUUGGGGGCAUCCGUAUUUCGCAGUCAGAGGUGAAAUUCUUGGAUCUGCGAAAGACGAACAAGUGCGAAAGCAUUUGCCAAGAGUGUUUUCAUUAAUCAAGAACG
rnacentral:rRNA from 1 species